rnacentral:lncRNA from 1 species
AUUAGAGGCAAGGAAACAAAUCAUUCAUUCUAGAAACAAACACCAACCACAGAUCAGGUAUUUGGGGGGAAACUGCAAAGGCACCAUCGGUGAAAAUACUAGGAAGUAAAAAUGUGUAGGCAAGAGUGGUGAUGGGAAAGAAAUACAGAGAAAGAAGAAAAAACAAUGACAGAUGAACAAAAUAUUUUUGUUUCAUCAACCAAACAUAUUUUGUUCUCUUGGGACUCCUGAUACCAUACCUCACCUUCUUCUAUUUCUUCUGAUAACCACGGCUCUUCAUAUUCUGCAAUUCACCAUCAGAAAGGGGCAUGCUCUUCUCAUUCAUAGUUCCAUAAUAGACUCUCUCCAGGAAACAAAACAGACAAAUCAAUACACCAAAAUGGUGCAAAUAAUUUUCCUUUGAAUAGCAAGCAAUACACAAAAUGUCUGAAUUCUGA